GAAAUAAGAUAUCAAAUGACAGUGCUGAGAACAAACGGAGUCAGAGACAAUUUACUCACAGACAUAUAAACUCCACAGCUGCUGUGUACUGUGGUAGAGAUGACACAGCCCAGGUGAGAAUUCAGAAAGAAGAAACCAGGAGACAGUGGAAAAUGGUUUUUUUUCACAUGAUUGAACAUGAAGAAAAGCCUGAGUCCAAUAUCAGCCCAAUAUCCAGACAAAUAGCAAUAAAGUAACGGAUGAAGAAGAUAAUUUAA